rnacentral:lncRNA from 1 species
UCUGAUCUUCCCAAGCUAAGAUAUGUUCGUUGUGUCGUUAACGAGACCCUUCGUCUGUAUCCUCCAGCCCCGCUUCUGCUGCCUCACGCGCCAUCUGAAGACUGCGUCAUAGGUGGAUACAAGAUACCACGAGGCACGAUUGUGAUGGUGAAUGCAUGGGCCAUACAUAGGGAUCCCAAGCUGUGGGAAGAUCCUGAGAGCUUCAAACCGGAGAGAUUCGAAGGUCUUAAUAAUGAAGGGGACAAACAAGGAUUCAUCCCUUUCGGUAUUGGGAGAAGGGCUUGCCCUGGAAAUCACAUGGCCAUGCGCAGAGUGAUGUUGGCAUUGGCUGCGCUUAUUCAGUGCUUUGAAUGGGAAAGAGUCGGGCAGGAACUGGUAGAUAUGAGCAUCGUAGAUGCUCUUAUCUCUGUACAGAAGGCUAAGCCUUUGGAGGCUAUUUGUGUUCCUCGUCCUUUCACAACCACUCUCAUCUCUCCACCCUAAUCCCAAUUAUGGAAUAAGACUGUGACUUUCUACGGAACCGUUUCUAUUUGGAAUAAAGUUCCAUGUUUACUUUGCUUUGUAAUGCAAUCCAGAGCUAUCUCUGUUUGGAAAUAAAGUUAUUCUAAGUUUACUUUGCUUUGUAAAUCAAUCCGCCAUUGAUGAGGUAUAAUUCAAGUUUAUUUUUUGUGGUAUAAAUAGGUGGCUAAAAGCUCAAAAACAAAGAAACUAUAGAUAAUCUUGAGCAAACGAUGUUUUCACCGCAAUGCCACAAACACGUCAUUCAGGGUCAUCGAUGGUUAUGGUUUUAAUAAAGAUGAAGUUAUCAAGGAGCAAACUAUAAUACUCAUUAAUUCGAGACCAAAAGAUGCAUAACAAUAUCAUUGAGAUUUCAUAUAAUGUUUUUUUCUGACAGACAUGGAGUUCAUUUUUUGUUUUUCUCACUACAUUCUGUAUCAAUAUAACCUGUAAAAGGGAAUGAGAAAAAACAAAUUUAAUCAGAAGAUGAAGAUAAUUUCAAUUCCUAAAGGUGGGGCAGAUCUAGAGAAAUGGAGAUGAUGGAGGAACAACUUUAAAUCCUAGAUAUUGCUUAUCAAGGAAAAGACAUACACCAAUAAUUACUUUGUGACUGCUGGGUUGGAGUGGUUGAUAGAAAUGGAACGGUGCUCGUUUGGGUCAUUUGUUAUUACUAGUCGUUGUUGAAAGCAUAUUAUAAAAUGAAAUAAAAGCUAUAAUUGUUUUUUUUUUAAAUAGUAUCGAUAACAUGCCAUCUACUGUUCUAGAUUCCAAUGACAAAAGAGUUGCCGGAAAAUCACGUGAGACCUUAAUAACAUGUAUUUUGUACACAAAGACAUAAUGAAGACCUUAAUAAACUCAUUUGUCCAUGAACUUCUCAAAAAAAAAAUCCAAAUCAAACCCAAAUUCCAAAAACUUUCAUAUCCUAGAUCUACUCCCUCAAGUAAGGUAAAGGUUAAAAAAAUAUUUAGAUAGAACUCCUCUCGUCGAAUAAAAUUCAUUGACAUCAAGAUCAAGUAUUUUUUUAACCAAAAUCAGUGUUAACAACAGAUUUUCCUCUCUUCAAUCUCUUUCAUCUCUCAAACCAAAUGAGCUGAAAAGAGAAGAAGAUGAAGUUUUGGAUUAAGAGUGAUUUUUUUUUAAAUCAAAGGGACUAUAAAUGUAUCAAUUGGAAAAUAGAAGGAGCAAAGUUAACUUUUCACAUCUUAGUUUCUCUGCUUUUUGUUUUUCACUUGGAAAGUUAUUAAAUUCUGCCACCCAGUUUGUCAAGCAACCACUAGCAUGUAUCUUCCAUAUCCCGAUUGAUCAUGUCUGCAGCAAAUCUUCACGGACCAUUUUUCAAUCGAACGAAGUGAUUUAACAUUAAACACUUUUUUAAUGCUAGUUCUUAAUAAAUUAGAUCUAAUCGGCCAUCAGUUUAAUAAUUAAAAUAGCGACAAGUCAACAAAAUCUUAUAAAUGCUUGUGCAUCAUCUCAGCAGACUAUAUUGUACACAUCUUUAUCAAUUAACAAAUCAUAAAAAUUAUUCACCUAACAUUAGUUGCUGUUUUAUAACAAUAUUUUAUUUCUAUUUUUUGAACUUGGUUUCUUAUAAUUUAAAUCAAUAUCGUCGAUUUCGUUCGAUUUCGUCUGGAAUGGCCGAAACAUUUCAUACUAAUUUAAAAAAAAAUAAUUUUCAUCUCAUUUCAAAUCUCGGUGAUCUGUUCCGGAUUUUUCGAUUAAAUUUCAGCCCGAAUGUUUAGCUUUCAUUUCACAUGUUCUGUCCAGUCUUAAAAAGUCAUCGAAUCAAAUCAAACCUGGUUCAAUUUAAUUAAUUAAACCACUAAAGUAUAAAAAGUUUUUUUUCAUUACUAUUUUCAAUAACAAUAAAAUUAAUAAUAAUAUUAAAAAUUAUUAUUACUAUUUUCAUUAACAAUGAUAUUAAUUUUUUAAAAUUAGAUUUAUCACUAAUAUAUAUGGUUUAUGUUCAUGUUGUUUUUUUCAUGUUUAUACUUUAUAGGAAUUUGAGCAAAACAAGGGAUGAUUUAGAUUUCAUAAGCCUUGAUAAUAUUGACCUAGCUUUAUAUUUAAAAUAUUUAUGUUAAAACAUUUUACUUUUAUAAUAUUUUGAUAUUUUGUUUAAGUUUAAUUACUUUAAGUUCUUGACUAUUUAGAAAUAUUUUAAAAUUUGAAAUUAUAUUUGUUUGACAUUGUGUUUGUAUUGCAUAAUUUAUAAUUAAUUUAUCUUGAAUUGGAAUUAUGUUUGUUGAAUUAUAUAUAAUUUAUAUAUGAACAGUACAAUUCCAAAAUGACACGCGAAACUAAAACAUUUUAUUUCAAUUAAAAAAAUAAAAUAUUUUUUAAAACAGAACUGACAACCUGAUUUAAAUUGUUGGAUGGUAUCCAACAUUAUGCAUAUAAUUAUCACUAAAUGAUAUGAUACUAAUUAGUCCUUCAUUGUUAAGCUCGUGUAAUUAUCACUGUUAAACUAGGUUUAUUAAUUUUAUAAUUAUCAAGAUUUAUUUUUCAAAUAAAUAAGGUAUUUUUUCCCCUCACUUUGGCUUCAAGUACUUUGAACUCUAGUGGCUAAAAAGGAAUACACCAUCCUAACAAUUAGAUUAAUUUUUUCUUCUAAUUAAUUUAUUGUGAUCAAGGGUGAUAUUUUCGAUUCAGUUCGGUUUUUAUUUAAAAAAAAUAAUCAAAUUGAAAUUUUUAAAAAAAAUCAAAACCAGUUCAAACCGACCAGUUUCAUUCAGUUCGAUUUUGUUUUUUAUGACAAAAAUCGGUUUGACUCGGUUUUUUCAAUUUGUCUCAGUUUUUUUCUGGUUUGGGUUCAGUUCGGUUCAUUUUUUUUUUGUUUCAGGCUUAUAAAACCGAAACCGAACCAAAUUGGUCAGUUUUUUCAAAAUUUUAAUCGGUUUAAUCAGUUUUUUUUCACGGUUUAGUUUUUUUUUUCAAGUUUUCUUGGUUUAAUCAGUUUUUUGAUUUUUUUCUCACCCCUAAAUGUGAUUACUUAUUUAACUACAUGUUGCUUUGAUGUUUGGAAUCCUUAUUUUCUACAUAACUUUUUCACUCUAAGUUUCUUACAAUUUAAUAAUUUUGUAUACCUUAUCAAGUGUGAUUGUCAUUACAGUUUCGGCAUUAAUUUUCAUUAAUUAAUCUUUUAAGAAUUAUUGCAUUAAAUCAUGGCCUAUUAAUUAACGAAUUAUUACACAUUUGUUCUUUUUUCAAUGAUAAAACAAUAUAUCCGAUCAAUUUUUUUUUCUUUUUAAUUUUUUGCACGUGAAAUAACCUUCCAAUCAUCCUCGCCAUUAAAUCCUUAAUUUAUUAAAUUCAAAUCUUCAAUUUGUCCAGUUUAUGUUAUUCAAUUCUGGUCUUAGGCUUCUUCUGGUAAUUGUCACCUUUCGUAUUCAAUGCAUUCUCACGUGCACUCAUGUUCUUUCUAGCAUCGCUCUUGAGACCACCUCCAGUCUUCGACUUGGGAUCUGCUAGUUGUGACUUCCUACGUUGUCAUUAUCCAAGGUAAUAACACAGACAGUCCAAAUUUUUUUGUUUUUUUUUUUAUUUUUUUAAAUUAUUUUAAUAUACUAAUAAGUAAAUCUUCGUAGGUAAAGUGCCGGACUGAGAGUCUAUUUAUGACUGAAUUUUUCAUCGGCUAUGUCAGCUCGAACUGCAGAUAGCAUUCGCUUUUGGUCUAACAGCAGCAUAUUAGCAAUUGUGUGAUUUCAGGCAGUCAUUUCUUGUAGGUUUUGGCUUUUGGAUGGAUGACUUUAGCAUCGACUCCAUGGAUCACUGAUCGAGAGUUUGAUUUUGGUGAAGUCUUUGAAUGAUCUCAUCGAAGACCGGGAGAAUCCAACAGAGUGACGGACCUUGCUUUUUCUUUUUUUUAAUGUAAUUCUCAAUUACUAUUAAAAAAAAAAAUACCAAACACGCUAGGAAAAAAAAUCUCUUCCCUUGUCUCGUAUCUAUCUAUUCAAACCUUGUUCUCCAUCCACAGCAACCCACCAUGCUUACAAAUAAUUUGUGCUUCACCUGGACUACAUGUACUACUGUCUUGCUUUCUUCCUCUCCAGCUUUCUUCUAUUCAAACCUGUAUUCCAACGUACCCUCAACUUACCACCAAGUCCUUUCGGUUUUCCGAUCAUAUAUAGGCCAUCUCCACCUUGUCUCGAAGCCACCAAUGCAUAAAGUGCUAGCAAUUCUUUCAAAUAAAUGCGGUCCAAUUUUUACUCUGAAAUUAGGCAGCAGGAACAUUGUUGCUGUUUGUUCUUUAUCAGCUGCUGAAGAAUGUUUCAUCAAGAAUGAUAUAGUUUUUGCCAACAGGCCUCAGAGCAUAUUUGUCCAUUACUGGAGCUACAGCUACGCUGCCUUUUUAUUUGCUCCGUAUGGCCAUCUCUGGCGGACCCUGAGGCGUUUCUCGGUCACUGAACUGUUUUCUCGAAGCUGCCUCGAUCGGUCUACUGCCAUUACCGAAGAAGUCCGCACCCUUCUCCGCCUGAUUCUGUCCAAAGUCUCUGAUGAUGGAGCCAAGAAGGUAGAGAUCCAAAUGAACUCGGAUUUCUGUUUAUAAUACCUUUCUGAAAAACUUUUAUAUUCUGAAAUUAAAACUCUAUGAAACAAAACCUGUCACAAUAAGCAAAUUCUGAAACAUAAAAUGCAGAAAUUAUUAUCUUUUAAUAAUUAAUUCACAAAGUUUCUUAGGCAUACCAAACUCAUAAAAAUAACUUUCAAUAAGCUCAUAUAAGCUCAAAAUACAUUAAAAAGCAUAUUAUAAAAAGAAUAAAAACAUAUAUAUAUUUUGCACUUAUCAUCUAAAUAAAGAAUUUUUCAUAUUCCCCGGACACUUUAUUUGACAGGAGUAGAUACGGUAGAUUUCACCACAGAAUGGGCAAUGACAUUUCUGCUGAACCAUCCAGAGAGACUAGAGAGGGUGAGAGCAGAGAUUGACAUGGAAGUCGGGCACGAGCGCUUGGUACAAGAGUCUGAUCUUCCCAAGCUAAGAUAUGUCCGUUGUGUCGUUAAUGAGACCCGUCGUUUGUAUCCUCCAGCCCCGCUUUUUCUGCCUCACGCGCCAUCUGAAGACUGCGUCAUAGGUGGAUA